rnacentral:tRNA from 1 species
GAGGGGAUAGCUCAGCGGUAGAGAGCAUGCUUAGCAUGCACGAGAUCCUGGGUUCAAUCCCCAGCACCUCCA